ACUUUGCAGCCCGACUUGAGUGGAAAUCCUUUUAUUUUUUUGUUUAAAAAAAAUAAAAGAUUGGGAACGAAAGGCGGAAGUUGCU
rnacentral:sRNA from 1 species